CAGUCGCCGCGGUAAUACGGAGGGUGCAAGCGUUAAUCGGAAUUACUGGGCGUAAAGCGCACGCAGGCGGUCUGACAAGUCAGAUGUGAAAUCCCCGGGCUUAACCUGGGAACUGCAUUUGAAACUGUCAGGCUGGAGUCUUGUAGAGGGGGGUGGAAUUCCAGGUGUAGCGGUGAAAUGCGUAGAGAUCUGGAGGAAUACCGGUGGCGAAGGCGGCCCCCUGGACAAAGACUGACGCUCAGGUGCGAAAGCGUGGGGAGCAAACAGGAUUAGAUACCCGAGUAGUCCCUGUCUCUUAUAC
rnacentral:rRNA from 1 species